UACGGAGGUGCAAACGUUGCUCGGAAUCAUUGGGCGUAAAGCGCACGUAGGCGGCUAGAUAAGUCGGGUGUGAAAGCCCUGGGCUCAAACCCAGGAAGUGCAUUCGAAACUGGUCUAGCUUGGAAUCUCGGAGGGGGUCAGAGGAAGUUCCCGGUGUGAGAGGUGAAAUUCGUGAGAAUAUCGGGAGGAAUACCAGUGGCGAAGGCGCUGACCUGGACG
rnacentral:rRNA from 1 species